rnacentral:rRNA from 1 species
AAAUUGAAGAGUUUGAUCAUGGCUCAGAUUGAACGCUGGCGGCAGGCCUAACACAUGCAAGUCGAACGGUAACAGGAAACAGCUUGCUGUUUCGCUGACGAGUGGCGGACGGGUGAGUAAUGUCUGGGAAACUGCCUGAUGGAGGGGGAUAACUACUGGAAACGGUAGCUAAUACCGCAUAACGUCGCAAGACCAAAGAGGGGGACCUUCGGGCCUCUUGCCAUCGGAUGUGCCCAGAUGGGAUUAGCUAGUAGGUGGGGUAACGGCUCACCUAGGCGACGAUCCCUAGCUGGUCUGAGAGGAUGACCAGCCACACUGGAACUGAGACACGGUCCAGACUCCUACGGGAGGCAGCAGUGGGGAAUAUUGCACAAUGGGCGCAAGCCUGAUGCAGCCAUGCCGCGUGUAUGAAGAAGGCCUUCGGGUUGUAAAGUACUUUCAGCGGGGAGGAAGGGAGUAAAGUUAAUACCUUUGCUCAUUGACGUUACCCGCAGAAGAAGCACCGGCUAACUCCGUGCCAGCAGCCGCGGUAAUACGGAGGGUGCAAGCGUUAAUCGGAAUUACUGGGCGUAAAGCGCACGCAGGCGGUUUGUUAAGUCAGAUGUGAAAUCCCCGGGCUCAAC